UCUCCGUUGGUGAACCAGCGGAGGGAUCAUUACCGAGUACUACACUCAUUACCCUUUGUGAACCAUUAUACCUGUUGCUUCGGCGGCGUCCCUCGUGGGCGCCCGCCGGUCUCAUCAGAAUCUCUGUUUUCGAACCCGACGAUACUUCUGAGUGUUCUUAGCGAACUGUCAAAACUUUUAACAACGGAUCUCUUGGCUCCA
rnacentral:misc_RNA from 1 species